rnacentral:rRNA from 1 species
UACGAAGGGGGCUAGCGUUGCUCGGAAUCACUGGGCGUAAAGGGUGCGUAGGCGGGUUUUUAAGUCAGGGGUGAAAUCCUGGAGCUCAACUCCAGAACUGCCUUUGAUACUGAAGAUCUUGAGUCCGGGAGAGGUGAGUGGAACUGCGAGUGUAGAGGUGAAAUUCGUAGAUAUUCGCAAGAACACCAGUGGCGAAGGCGGCUCACUGGCCCGAUACUGACGCUGAGGCACGAAAGCGUGGGGAGCAAACAGGG